GAAAGCGAAGGCAGGAGCGUGAGGUGAACUGAAUUUCAGUGCACUUCGGGUGUCAUUGUCCCCCAUUUCGCCCAGGUGGGACCGUCUCGUUGCAGAGAAACAAGCACAGGGCUCUCACUGAUUGAGCGUUAUGACAAAAAUGACUCCAAGAUUCCUCACAGUGUUCCUGAAGGCCAAGGUAAUGCCAUCCCAAUUCCUGUCAGUGGAGGAACUCUUAUUCCCCUGAUAUCGCCCCACAGAAUGCUUGCUUGUAGCUGAGCACUGAGCCUCAUCAAUGGAGCCAUUGUCAACUGGCAGCCUGUGCACAUGCUGUAAAACCUGAAGUGCCAAAAGGUAUGAGAUAAAAUACUUGUAGUGAAAACCUUUGUCCACAAUUCUAUGAAUUUGGUGUGUUUGGUGACAACAUGACUGCUCCUCAUAAUCUGCUACCAAACUGUUAUAGUAGCAGUAACUUCAGACAACACAAUAUGGAUAUGCAAAAGAGGCCACCUGAAAAUUGCUCCAUCAUUAUUAUCAUUAUCAUUAUUAUUAUUAUUGUUAUUGUUAUUAUUAUUAUCCAUUAAUGCUUGUGUUGUUUCUGGAAACCAGUCACGGUUCACCACAAUCUCUAUUUAGAAAUGUGUAAUUCAGCAUGUGUCUCUGUAACUAUCUUUUUUUUAAUUGCAUUUUCAUAAUUGCUGAAAAAUGGUUACACAGUCUUUGUCAAAGUCACUUUGGGAUCCCUACAGGCAAAUGUCCUCUAGCUGUCCUCUGUGUCUGCAAUGUUGCCUUCUAAUAGUUCGAUCCCCUCAGUUCUCACUACCUUCCCUCUUUGUUAUUAUCCGACUACAUUUCUCCAGUCCAAACGACAAUGUCAUUGCUGUAUAUCCUGGUGGUGUUGAUCAGGAUAUACAGGACAUAUAAUUGAUGUCUUGUUCACUCUUGCCAUACAGCUUGCUGUUAUCCAUGUAGAGGAGGUGGCUGACAGUUGCUCCACUCUGUAGUCGGUA